rnacentral:rRNA from 1 species
GACGAACGCUGGCGGCGUGCUUAACACAUGCAAGUCGAACGGAAAGGCCCUGCUGUUGUGGGGUGCUCGAGUGGCGAACGGGUGAGUAACACGUGAGUAACCUGCCCUUGACUUUGGGAUAACUUCAGGAAACUGGGGCUAAUACCGGAUAGGAGCUCCUGCUGCAUGGUGGGGGUUGGAAAGUUUCGGCGGUUGGGGAUGGACUCGCGGCUUAUCAGCUUGUUGGUGGGGUAGUGGCUUACCAAGGCUUUGACGGGUAGCCGGCCUGAGAGGGUGACCGGCCACAUUGGGACUGAGAUACGGCCCAGACUCCUACGGGAGGCAGCAGUGAGGAAUAUUGCACAAUGGGCGGAAGCCUGAUGCAGCAACGCCGCGUGCGGGAUGAAGGCCUUCGGGUUGUAAACCGCUUUCGCCUGUGACGAAGCGUGAGUGACGGUAAUGGGUAAAGAAGCACCGGCUAACUACGUG